GCCUUGGACCUGCUUGCAUGGGGAAUUGUGACAGAUUACUGGGCCCAUCACCUAGUAGAUGUUACUGUCUAUUUUUUACCUGGAUCCUGCCUACAGAAAGGAUUGUGACAAAUCAGUGGGCCAAGCAUCCCGGUGACGUGGCUCUUCUGUCUUAGCAAUUCCUAUAGUUGGAAUAGUGACAUAAACCUGGGUCAAGCAUCUGGGGUAAUUUGUGACAUACUGCUGGACCCAGCACCCAGGUCAUUUGACUCUCCUGCCUUGGCCCUUCCCACAGAGGGCAUUGUGACAUUGAGUGGGCUCAGCAGCUAGGUGAUACGACUUUCCUGCCAGGACUCUUCCAACAGAAGGGACAUUGACCUACUCAGGCUCAGUAUUCAGCCAAUAGAUGAAAAAAGAUUCAAGGAAGACACAUUUGCUUUUUAUUCACUCAUCACUUCCCAUCACUAUGCUGACCAGAGUCAAUGUGAGCAGAGUUGAGAAUAGCAGUUUUCUGGCAGGAGAGCCACUUCUCAGCAAAAAAUGACACACUCAAAGUAUAAAUCUUUCAUGGAAGGCUCACAUAUUUUCAGCAAAUUAAGCAUAUGCAUGAAUAAAAUUCUUGUGGUGAAAUAAA
rnacentral:lncRNA from 1 species